rnacentral:rRNA from 1 species
UACGGAGGGUGCAAGCGUUGUUCGGAAUUACUGGGCGUAAAGGGCGCGUAGGCGCCCGGCCAGUCUCUCGUGAAAUCCCACGGCUCAACUGUGGAACUGCGGGAGAUACUGCCAGGCUUGAGUUCGGGAGAGGGUAGUGGAAUUCCCAGUGUAGCGGUGAAAUGCGUAGAUAUUGGGAGGAACACCGGUGGCGAAGGCGGCUACCUGGACCGGUACUGACGCUGAGGCGCGAAAGCUAGGGGAGCAAACGGGAUUAGAUACCCUUGUA